GGAGAUAUAUAUUACAUUAAAUUUAGGAGUUGUUCGGUAAUGAUUUUAAAAUUGGAUUUUUGUUUUUUUAAUUAAAAAGGUAAAAACAAAACUAAAAAAUGUGUUCGGUAAGAUGAUUUUGUUUUUUGUUUUUAAAAUUAAAAAACAAAACUUAAUAAAUUUUAAAAUCAGAUUUUUGUUGAUUUUAAAAAUUUUAAAAACACUUUUUUUUUUCAGUUAGCUUCUCUCUCGCCUAUUUUCUCAGAAGCUCAAGUUCUCUUCAGCUACUUCACAGGAGCUAUAGAUGGGACUCAUAUCUCUGUUCAUGUCUCUAUUGAUGAACAAAUAUCAUAUCGAGGUCGGAAGAUGGAUACAACUCAAAACGUCACGUGUAUAUAUUCAUUUGACAUGAAGUUCACAUAUGUUGUUGAUGGAUGGGAAGGAUCGGCUAAUAAUGCAUGAAUUCUUUUAGAAUGUGCCAGGAAUUCAAAUUAUGAAUUCCCAGCUCCACCUCAUGGUAAGUGUUAUCAAACUUAUUAUGUUUAUUGACAUUACUUUGUAUUAAUAUUUAUAUAAAAAAAAAAUUAAUAUCAAUUAACAUUGUUUAAGAAAUUAUUAUCGGGUUGAUUUUGGAUAUACAAACAUCUCUGGUUUUUUUUC